UACAGAGGUCUCAAGCGUUGUUCGGAUUCAUUGGGCGUAAAGGGUGUGUAGGUGGCGCGCUAAGUCGGGUGUGAAAUUUCGGAGCUUAACUCCGAAACUGCAUUCGAUACUGGCGUGCUUGAGGACUGGAGAGGAGACUGGAAUUCGAUGGUGUAGCUAGUGAAAUGCGUAGAGAUCAUGAGGAAGACCAGUGGCGAAGGCGGGUCUCUGGACAGUUCCUGACACUGAGGCACGAAGGCCAGGGAGCAAACGGG
rnacentral:rRNA from 1 species